GACGGAGGAUGCAAGCGUUGUCCGGAUUUACUGGGCGUACAGCGCGCGCAGGCGGUUGCGUAUGUGAGCGGUGACAUCCGCGGGCUCAACCCGCGGCGGCCCGCUUACACAGCGCGACUGGAGGCAGGGAGAGGGAUGUGGAAUACCCGGUGGAGCGGUGAAAUGCGUAGAGAUCGGGUGGAACACCAGCGGCGAAGGCGACUACCUGGCCUGUUCUUGACGCUGAGGCGCGAAAGCUAGGGGAGCAAACGGG
rnacentral:rRNA from 1 species